rnacentral:rRNA from 1 species
CAUCGCCUACGGGGGGCAGCAGUGGGGAAUAUUGGGCAAUGGGCGCAAGCCUGACCCAGCAACGCCGCGUGAAGGAAGAAGGCUUUCGGGUUGUAAACUUCUUUUAAGAGGGAAGAGUAGAAGACGGUACCUCUUGAAUAAGCCACGGCUAACUACGUGCCAGCAGCCGCGGUAAUACGUAGGUGGCAAGCGUUGUCCGGAUUUAUUGGGUGUAAAGGGUGCGUAGACGGGAAGGCAAGUUGGUUGUGAAAUCCCUCGGCUUAACUGAGGAACUGCAACCAAAACUAUCUUUCUUGAGUGCUGGG